UACGUAGGGUGCAAGCGUUGUCCGGAAUUAUUGGGCGUAAAGAGCUCGUAGGUGGCCUGUCGCGUCGGCUGUGAAAACUCGGGGCUCAACUCCGAGCUUGCAGUCGAUACGGGCAGGCUAGAGUUCGGCAGGGGAGACUAGAAUUCCUGGUGUAGCGGUGAAAUGCGCAGAUAUCAGGAGGAACACCGGUGGCGAAGGCGGGUCUCUGGGCCGAUACUGACACUGAGGAGCGAAAGCGUGGGGAGCGAACAGG
rnacentral:rRNA from 1 species